CCAAAAGCCCUUUUCAGGGCCACUAAAAAAAAAAAAGAACUUUAUU
rfam:Rattus norvegicus chromosome 6, whole genome shotgun sequence.